UACGUAGGGGGCAAGCGUUGUCCGGAUUUAUUGGGCGUAAAGAGCUCGUAGGCGGUUUGUCGCGUCUGCUGUGAAACCCGAGGCUCAACCUCGGGCCUGCAGUGGGUACGGGCAGACUAGAGUGUGGUAGGGGAGACUGGAAUUCCUGGUGUAGCGGUGGAAUGCGCAGAUAUCAGGAGGAACACCGAUGGCGAAGGCAGGUCUCUGGGCUGUAACUGACGCUGGAGGAGCGAAAGCAUGGGGAGCGAACAGG
rnacentral:rRNA from 1 species